GACGAACGCUGGCGGCGUGCUUAACACAUGCAAGUCGAACGGAAAGGCCCUGCUUUUGUGGGGUGCUCGAGUGGCGAACGGGUGAGUAACACGUGAGUAACCUGCCCUUGACUUUGGGAUAACUUCAGGAAACUGGGGCUAAUACCGGAUAGGAGCUCCUGCUGCAUGGUGGGGGUUGGAAAGUUUCGGCGGUUGGGGAUGGACUCGCGGCUUAUCAGCUUGUUGGUGGGGUAGUGGCUUACCAAGGCUUUGACGGGUAGCCGGCCUGAGAGGGUGACCGGCCACAUUGGGACUGAAAUACGGCCCAGACUCCUACGGGAGGCAGCAGUGGGGAAUAUUGCACAAUGGGCGGAAGCCUGAUGCAGCAACGCCGCGUGCGGGAUGACGGCCUUCGGGUUGUAAACCGCUUCCGCCUGUGACGAAGCGUGAGUGACGGUAAUGGGUAAAGAAGCACCGGCUAACUACGUG
rnacentral:rRNA from 1 species